rnacentral:tRNA from 1 species
ACCUAGCUGGCUCAGUCAGUAGAGCAUGUGACUCGGUCUCAGGGUUGUGAGUUCAAGCCCCAUGUUGGGCA